CGACUGAAAAGGAAAUAAAACUGAAACCGACCCAUGAAAGAAAAUCAUCUUAAAAUUUCACAGAUCUCUAAGUGAUAUCACUGAGCACUGCAUCUUCAGAGACAAUGGACCCUCUGGAUGGAAAAGGACACUGUGCCCUGGGGCCGCCACAUUUAAGCAUCUGCAUAUUUGUUGCGUUAAAUCUUCAACGUUCACCAGAGUCUCAAACCACACAGCUUUUCUAGGUUUUCACUUGCUGUUUCUAAGGGGAGAACAGAGAUUUCUUCCACUAUGAAAAGAAAGGGGUCCCCUUCUGUCCCUCUUAGACAGAACCUAUCUUGCGAUCAAAUUGUCCUACUCUUAAAACACAAACGAAAAGAAGGGGGGCUUCUUAUCGGAAAGUGUCUUCUUAUCAGAAGGGGGGCUCAGCUAAGGACCCCAGCACAUGACCUCACUUCCUUGGUGACAGGUCCAAACAGACCUUGGAACCCUGUCACCAGGCACCACGGUCUAGCGCCAACUGCCCUCCCAGUCACUUGGCUGGAAAUAGGCAGCAGCGAACAUGCUGUGCUGCUUUCCCAGGCCUCCAGGCCGCAGCCUCGGGACCCCACGCAGGGAAACCACUUGCCAACGAGUGAGAGGAUGGUUCACUCGGCCCAGAAGCUUCAGGACCCUCAUCAGGAACCACCCAACAGUCACGGGCAGCCCAGGGCAGGUCUCACCAGACCCAGCCCCCAGAUGCCCAGAGACGAGAGAGAGCCCAGGGCAGGUGUCCCGAGGCCCGACCUUCAUCCGCUCAGAGGCACCGAAUCCACUACAGGUCUACGUAGACCCGGACACCACUAUUGGACAUCAAUCGGCCGAGAGCCCGGCAGAGGUCUGCAGAGUGAACACAGUGCGGGCAGGGGCACCCCACACCCUGACGGAGCCGCUGGAGAAGGCCUUCCUGGACAGGAAGAGCAGAUUUUUAUGGAACAUCAGCCAUGUGCCCUUGGGUGCAAGAACACACCAGAUACCUAUUCCUGUCCUCGUGGAGCUCACCCGCCAAUGGAAAGGGGCAGAGAGACACCUUUUCAGGCUUCCCUGAAGAAGGCAGAGGUCCACCUCUUCUGUUCCAAACUCCUCACUGGAGCUGAACUCUCAGAUAGAGUCCAUAGAUGAGCUUCUCCUGGACCAUCUGGAUCGCCCCGAACCUCCUGAGGCACAGCUCCAGAGUGUGGAGGACUGUGUGCCAGCUCCAGGCCCCGAUCAAGUCCCACCUGCAGAGCUCCUGCCUGCUCUACCUGCAGCUCCCUCACCAGCUGUGGCCCCACACCAAGAGCCAGGACCUAUAACCUCUUCCCCACCAGCUGCAGAGCCGGAACUCCUGGCAUCUCCACGACAGGUGUCAUCUCUUGAGCUCUACCUGGGGCCGGCUCUUGGCCCACUGCUGCCAUUCCUGUCACAUACAGAUUUACUUAUUAUACUUAUUGUUACUCUGACUGCUCAGAGACAGGACAAUGAUAGAAUUAAUGUAAAUAAAUUAACAUUUUACCCUUAUUUAAAAUGAUCAC
rnacentral:lncRNA from 1 species